AUUGAACGCUGGCGGCAUGCUUUACACAUGCAAGUCGAACGCGUGGCGGACGGGAGAGUAAUAUAUCGGCCCGUGCCCAGUAGCGGGGGACCACUACUCGACAGAGUGGCUAAUACCGCCACAUCUUGGCUCCGACGAUAUCGGAUGAGCUAGUUGGUGGGGUAAAGGCUCACCAAGGCAACGAUCCGUAGCUGGUUUGAGAGGACGACCAGCCACACUGGAACUGAGACACGGCCCAGACUCCUACGGGAGGCAGCAGUGGGGAAUUUUGGACAAUGGGGGAAAGCCUGAUCCAGCCAUCCCGCGUGUAUGAGAAGGCCUUCGGGUUGUAAAGUACUUUUGGCAGAGAAGCGGUAUCUGCAGAAUAAGCACCGGCUAACUACGUGCCAGCAGCCGCGGUAAUAC
rnacentral:rRNA from 1 species